UAGGUUUCCCUUCCAUGCGAUACCCAGUAAACUGCCCGUCCUAUGUCCAGCCAGAUGGAAUGACUUCUAGAAAUAUCUGUAUCUCCACUAAUCUUACAAGGUUCAGAUGUACCCCAUCAUCCUCUCAGUAAGGUUGGGUUCUCUCGUUCGUACUAGGACGGCCAGUUCUAAAACGAAACUAAAAUAAACUAAAACGAAACGAAAAUAGAUAUAUCCAACCGCAUAAGUAUUUAACCUGUAAAGCGAUAUGACAACAUUAUGUAUUACAAUACGAAAAUGAAAUAACAUGUAAUGAGUUAUAUACAUGUAUUAAUAUUAAUAAAUGUCGUGAAUAUAG